rnacentral:rRNA from 1 species
CAAUAGCGUAUAUUAAAGUUGUUGCGGUUAAAAAGCUCGUAGUUGGAUCUCGGCGAGUAGGGGGCGGUUAGUUGCUUAACUGUACUGCUCCAUUUACUCGUGUUUUUGACGGAGGUUGCCGGGUGCUCUUCAUCGAGUGUCCGGUGAUGCCGUCAGGUUUACUUUGAAAAAAAUAGAGUGCUCAAAGCAGGCUUCACACGCUUGAAUAUUCGUGCAUGGAAUAAUAGAAUAGGACGUCGUUUCUAUUUUGUUGGUUUUCGGAAAUUGACGCAAUGAUUAAUAGGGACAGUCGGGGGCAUUAGUAUUCAAACGACAGAGGUGAAAUUCUUGGACCGUUUGAAGACUAACUACUGCGAAAGCAUUUGCCAAGAAUGUUUUCAUUAA